CAUUUCCUCAAUCAUUCUUCGGUCUUCCCCUUCCGGGUCUCUCGGACCCUUCAAUCUUCAAUCAUUCUUCGUCUUUCCGUUCGUGGUCCGUUCGUGGUCUAUCUCUCUCGGUUUCCCGUAGACCUAUCCCUCUCGGUCGGGAAAUGAGAAAAUAAGCAGAAAUUUUUAAUAUUUCACUAACUCUCUAUUCCCCAAUUUCUAUUUCUACCAUUUACCACACAAAGACAACCCUAAUCAUUCUCUCUUCUGUCUUUUCCCCAUGGAUGGCUUGUUCUAUCCUCUGUAUCGUUUCCCACUGAUGGUACACAGAUAGUCAUAGCCAUUCUUCUUUUCUUUCACUAAAUUUUUUUUGCUCCAGUGCCUCCUCUUAGCCAUGGCUAGGGCUACCAUAAAGGUUUAUUUCUUCAUAAUGGAGAGGGGUUAGUCCUCUUCAAAAUCUCCGUUCCAGAAGUUUCUUCAUCGCCAGCAAAGAUUUUAAGGGUGGUGAUUUAUGGCUUGUUUGGAUAUUCAGAUGGAUGUAAAGAAUCAAUAUCAUGCAACUAUAUGGGUGCUCAAGAUAUGCAUUUUCGAGAAAAUGAGCAAAAACUUGCAAAAAAAGGAGGGAGGAGUUAUAGAUAGAAGCCAAGACAUUGCUCUUUUGCAAGAUUUCUACAAACUCUAUCGAGAGCAGAAUGACGUGGAAAUGUUACGAGAAGAAGAGUUGAAUUUAAGGGAGACUGGGGCUUUCAGUGGAGACUUGGGUGAGUAAGUAUUUCACCCAUUUGAACUCAAAUAGAUGGCACUUUUAUUUAUUUGCUUUUGUUCUGUUUAUGCUAAUACUGUAGUUUUAUUUUCUAAUCUACCUAUAAGGAGAAAAACAUAAUUAUGUGAAUGUGACUUUCAAUUUUCUCCUUUUGUUUAUUUUUGUCCCUUGGUUUAUUAUUAAUUUUA